ACGGCGAGUGAAGCGGCAACAGCUCAAAUUUGAAAGCUAGCCUUCGGGUUCGCAUUGUAAUUUGUAGAGGAUGAUUUGGGGAAGCCGCCUGUCUAAGUUCCUUGGAACAGGACGUCAUAGAGGGUGAGAAUCCCGUAUGUGACAGGAAAUGGCACCCUAUGUAAAUCUCCUUCGACGAGUCGAGUUGUUUGGGAAUGCAGCUCUAAAUGGGAGGUAAAUUUCUUCUAAAGCUAAAUAUUGGCGAGAGACCGAUAGCGCACAAGUAGAGUGAUCGAAAGAUGAAAAGCACUUUGGAAAGAGAGUUAAAAAGCACGUGAAAUUGUUGAAAGGGAAGCGCUUGCAAUCAGACUUGUUUAAACUGUUCGGCCGGUCUUCUGACCGGUUUACUCAGUUUGGACAGGCCAGCAUCAGUUUCGGCGGCCGGAUAAAGGCUCUGGGAAUGUGGCCUUCACUUCGGUGGAGGUGUUAUAGCCCAGGGUGUAAUACGGCCAAGCCGGGACUGAGGUCCGCGCUUCGGCUAGGAUGCUG
rnacentral:rRNA from 1 species